GUACGGAGAAUUCCUCAUUUACUCGCCCCAACAAAUAUGUAUCAGAUGGCGGGUAAAAAGUUUUCCCUGGUGUUGGCGCAGUAUUCGCGCACCCCAACCUCGGU
rnacentral:sRNA from 1 species